rnacentral:rRNA from 1 species
ACUCAAAUGAAUAGACGGGGGCCCGCACAAGCGGUGGAGCAUGUGGUUUAAUUCGAUGCAACGCGAAGAACCUUACCUGCCCUUGACAUCUGGGGAAGCCUGGCGAAAGGCUGGGUGUGCCGAAAGGAGCCCCAAGACAGGUGCUGCAUGGCUGUCGUCAGCUCGUGUCGUGAGAUGUUGGGUUAAGUCCCGUAACGAGCGCAACCCCUAUCCUGUGUUGCCAUCCCGCAAGGGGGAACUCGCAGGAGACUGCCGGUGACAAACCGGAGGAAGGUGGGGAUGACGUCAAGUCAUCAUGGCCUUUAUGGGCAGGGCUACACACGUGCUACAAUGGGGCGUACAGAGGGAAGCGAACCUGCGAGGGGGAGCGAAUCCUAUAAAACGCAUCGUAGUCCGGAUCGGAGUCUGCAACUCGACUCCGUGAAGUUGGAAUCGCUAGUAAUCGCGAAUCAGCAUGUCGCGGUGAAUACGUUCUCGGGCCUUGUACACACCGCCCGU